rnacentral:rRNA from 1 species
CCUACGGGAGGCAGCAGUCGAGAAUCAUUCACAAUGGGGGAAACCCUGAUGGUGCGACGCCGCGUGGGGGAAUGCAGGUCUUCGGAUUGUAAACCCCUGUCAUGUGGGAGCAAAUUAAAAAGAUAGUACCACAAGAGGAAGAGACUGCUAACUCUGUGCCAGCAGCCGCGGUAAUACAGAGGUCUCAAGCGUUGUUCGGAUUCAUUGGGCGUAAAGCGUGCGUAGGCAGUUUCGUAAGUCGGGUGUGAAAGGCGCGGGCUCAACCGGCGGAUGGCAAAUGAUACUGGGAGACUAGAGUAAAGGUGAGGGAGGCGGAAUUCGCGGUGUAGCAGUGAAAUGCGUAGAUAUCGCGAAGAACACUCGUGGCGAAGGCAGGUUCCUGAACAGCAACUGACACUGAGGCACGAAGGUCAGGGGAGCGAAAGGGAUUAGAUACCCCUGUAGUC